GCCCCUGUAGUGUAGCCCGGUUAAUCAUCCCGCCUUCUCGGGGCGGUGACUCGGGUUCAAAUCCCGACGGGGGCA
rnacentral:tRNA from 1 species